UGGCCGCUCUGGGCGGUGAGCACCGUGCUGCUCGCGGCGGUGGUGCUCGCGCGGGCCGCCGACCAUCGCCGGUUCGGCACCGGCGGCAGCUAGC
rnacentral:tRNA from 1 species